UGGGGAAUUUUUCGCAAUGGGCGCAAGCCUGACGAAGCAACGCCGCGUGGAGGAUGAAGGCCUUCGGGUUGUAAACUCCUGUCGACCGGGACGAAAGCUGUCUGACCCAAUACGUCGGGCAGUUGACUGUACCGGUGGAGGAAGCCACGGCUAACUCUGUGCCAGCAGCCGCGGUAAUACAGAGGUGGCAAGCGUUGUUCGGAAUUACUGGGCGUAAAGGGCGCGUAGGCGGUUCUGUAAGUCCUGUGUGAAAUCCCUCGGCUCAACUGAGGAACUGCACGGGAGACUGCCGGGCUUGAGUUCGGGAGAGGGAAGCGGAAUUCCGGGUGUAGCGGUGAAAUGCGUAGAUAUCCGGAGGAACACCGGUGGCGAAGGCGGCUUCCUGGACCGACACUGACGCUGAGGCGCGAAAGCUAGGGGAGCAAACGGG
rnacentral:rRNA from 1 species